AACACCUCAAGACAAUUAGGACCUGAGGAGAACAUGAGGACUUUAGUACAAAUCCUGUGGACACUUCUUGCUCUAUCAGUAAUAGUGAAAGCUCUUCCCACAGAGUUACCAAGAGAAGAGAUGGAGCGGAGGUGUGUGAUAUGUGCCAAACUCUGUAUGAAUGGAUUCCAAAUAGGAUCUGACGGUUGUCCAAUAUGCAAAUGCAAACCUAGAUGUCCCAGAUUGAUAUGCCACAAUCAAUGCGUGUUUGGUUACCAUCACGACAGAUUCGGCUGCAAGACAUGCCGAUGUAAACCCCUCCCAUCCUACAUUAUGAGGUCACAGAGUCAUCACCAAUACAUGCACCAACAUCUCCCAAGAUGGAUGAAAAUUCACAAAUGAGCGGAGGAAAUCCGCGGAUAAAAUUGUUUUUGGUCAAUGUGCUUAAGUCAGAUUCGAAAGAUUCACCCUCUGCGAAAUCUAAAUCUUUAUGGCUUGUUAAGAUGCUUGCACAGGAGCAUACUAGUGUCCAAGGAACUAGAGAGGAAAUAGAACUGACCAAAGCCAAUGACUGUUUACUGUUGUGUGUUGUGCUUCUUGGACAUCUCCCAGCUCAGAUUAUACUCAUAAAGGUCCCUCGGAAAAUUAAAAAAACAAGCUCAAAGACAAUCAAAUCACAGCAAAAUAGCAGAGAUCAGAACCCGAUCUGAUCUACACAUAACAUUAAAAACGAGACCCAUCACGGAAGGUGCAUGUCGCUCUGAGCUAGGAAGGUCGAGACAAACUGGUUGUUCAUUUCACUGUUGUCUGUCUUUUGUGAAAUCUGAGGACAUCAAUUUCUUCCAUUAUAGGCUCAUCUUCUCUGCGACAGGCGUCUCGUUUAAUACUGACGGGUCAAAUAUGUUAGAGAUUUCUUCAUUUCAAAGACGUUUUGUGACAACCCCAGAUGUGUGAAGUCACCUGCUGAUACGAGGCAGAGGCAGUUAUAGUAUUUUCGUGGGCAUGUUGGACUGUAGAGUUAUAAAUUUCCACCGUUACGUGUUCUAAAGCUACUCGGAGAAGGUUGAUGUAUAUAUUGUAAAGUAUUGAGGAGGAAAUAUGUCUCAAAAAGGACGAGGUUUUAAAUGUCAAAUCUCAACCAAGCAGACACUCUGGAGUGUCUAUUCCCCCUCUCCCCUCAAUGUUUUCCUCAAAUUCAUCAUGAUUUUUGACUUGAUGAGGGGCCAGCAACAAGAGCCAUAAUUUGUUAUCGGUACAAAAUGUCUGCAGUACAUUAUUUUUUCCCUUAGCCAUGGAUCAGGGGUGGGUGGGUUGGGGUUGGGGUAGUGUCCUAUUUUCAUUGAACAAAUAGUAGUUUUCCUUCAUUUUUUCAAGGUGAAAACUAAUAUCAUGGUCCGAGCAAGAGAUCAUCAACUUGAUCAAAGUUUUGGUCAUUUUUACUCGUAUCUUGGCCGCUCCUUGUCCCUGCUACAUGUACCACACGCAGUCGGGAAGUAAAUUGAGAUUGGGUAUAUCUUGAAAAUAUUAUUCGUAGCGAUGGUAGCAGGGGCUUCACCCAGUAAGAUAUACAGAAAGAUGUUUGAUAGGAAAGACAAACAUAUGAUUAGAUGUUUAAGGAUUGUGAUGCGAACAAAUUAUUUACGUUGUUGUGAAAUAUUUAUUUAUUUAUUUAUUAGUUUGUAUCCAUUCAGUCCUUUCCAGCAAAAAUAAAAUUACACACUUAAAUUUGGGGGUUUUCUGUCAAAAAAAACACUAAUGCCCUCUGCACAGAAAGUUUAUAUUAGAGUAAAUUUCGGUCACCGAAGUCAUUUCUUGGAGGAAACUUGCUUUGAAUUUCUCUGUAAAUUUCGAAACUUUCUGAAAUCAUGCCAGAUCAUAAUUAACAAUCAGUCAAUCAUCCCGUCAUUGUAAAUGAUAUAGAGACUCUGUGUAAAUAUUGUAGAAUAAAUGUAAAGUAUUUGUAAAUGCAUAUCUGUUGUCAAUUUCCUCAGCUUGUAUUAUAGAGGUUACUAGAGUAAUAGGGA